rnacentral:rRNA from 1 species
GUGGGGAAUAUUGGGCAAUGGGCGAAAGCCUGACCCAGCAACGCCGCGUGAAGGAAGAAGGUUUUCGGAUUGUAAACUUCUGUCCUCAGGGAAGAAGGAAGUGACGGUACCUGAGGAGGAAGCCCCGGCUAACUACGUGCCAGCAGCCGCGGUAAUACGUAGGGGGCGAGCGUUGUCCGGAAUGACUGGGCGUAAAGGGCGCGUAGACGGCUGUCUAAGUCUGGAGUGAAAGUCCUGCUUUCAAGGUGGGAAUUGCUUUGGAGACUGGAUGGCUUGAGUGCGGAAGAGGUAAGUGGAAUUCCCAGUGUAGCGGUGAAAUGCGUAGAGAUUGGGAGGAACACCAGUGGCGAAGGCGACUUACUGGGCCGUAACUGACGUUGAUGCGCGAAAGCGUGGGGAGCGAACAGGAUUAGAAACCCCUGUAGUCC